AGGGCCAUGAGGAGCGGUGGCGGUGGCCGAGCAACUCGCCGCGGGCAGGGAACAGCGCCCCGGCGUGCCGCGCCAGCGCUACCGCGGAGCUCCUGUGAUGCUCCACCUCCGAGGUGGGACGGCCCCUCUGAUCCGGCUCCUCCUCUCGCCCCUUCUCUCACGCCCAACCCUAACCCGGCUAUGGCGCCCUUGUUGCCGGCACCUCUCUUGCUGCCGCUGGUGCCACAUCCGAGGGAGCAAGAGCAGCAGGAGAAUGCUGAGGAAGGAGAAGAACAGAGGCCGAGGCCGACGCCGACAACCAUGGAAAAGAAGGUUGUAGAGCCUUCAAAGAAGAAGAAAUUUGUGGAUUUGAAAUCAAUGUGGGGUAGAGCUGAAAAGAAACUGAAGUCUAUAGUUGAUAGCAAUAAUAUUUCUGAGCAUUCAGCUAGGAGGAAAGACCCUGAACCUGCUACUAUACAUGCACCUGCAACUAAAGAGAUUGGGUGUAGUAGAGCAUGUGAAGUUGGAUUUGCACAAACAGAAACUCAAGUGCCCUAUGAAAGUAUAGAAGUAUCAAGACCUCAAGAUGUAGAUGGCAGCAUAGAA
rnacentral:lncRNA from 1 species